AGAGUUUGAUCAUGGCUCAGAGCGAACGCUGGCGGCGUACUUAACACAUGCAAGUCGAACGAGGAUCAUCGGGUUAGCAAUAAUUCGGUGGUCCUAGUGGCGUACGGGUGAGUAACACGUGGGUAACCUGCCCUCGAGUCCGGGAUACCCUCUCGAAAGGGAGGCUAAUACUGGAUACGUUCCCUGGGGCGCAAGACCUGUGGAGGAAAGGUAGCGAAAGCUGCCGCUCUUGGAGGGGCUCGCGGCCUAUCAGCUAGUUGGUGAGGUAACGGCUCACCAAGGCUAUGACGGGUAGCUGGUCUGAGAGGACGACCAGCCACACGGGAACUGAGACACGGUCCCGACUCCUACGGGAGGCAGCAGUGGGGAAUUUUCCGCAAUGGGCGAAAGCCUGACGGAGUGACGCCGCGUGGGGGACGAAGGCCUUCGGGUCGUAAACCCCUGUCAGAGGGAAAGAAGGGUGCUGGCGUGAAUAGCGCCGGCAUCUGACGGUACCUUCAGAGGAAGCCCCGGCCAACUCUGUGCCAGCAGCCGCGGUAAGACAGAGGGGGCAAGCGUUGCUCGGAAUCACUGGGCGUAAAGGGCGCGUAGGCGGGAUGGCAAGUCGGUCGUGAAAUCCUUCGGCUCAACCGAAGAACGUCGGCCGAUACUGCCGUUCUUGAGGGAUGCAGAGGAGAUUGGAAUUCCCGGUGUAGCGGUGAAAUGUGUAGAGAUCGGGAGGAACACCGGUGGCGAAGGCGGGUCUCUGGGCAUCUCCUGACGCUGAGGCGCGAAAGCGUGGGGAGCAAACGGGAUUAGAUACCCCGGUAGUCCACGCUGUAAACGAUGACGACUAGGUGUGGGGGGGGUUAGUCCCUUCCGUGCCGCAGCUAACGCAUUAAGUCG
rnacentral:rRNA from 1 species